CCCAUAUUAUCUCGGCCUUUCCCACCCCCCUUCCUCCUCGCCAACCCCACCUCCAAGUUUUCUAUUGUCCUUUUCUUUAUCUCUGGGACGGACACACUCCAAUGGAGCGCACAGAGAUCUCUUUUUUCCCCUUGUCCGGCUGUAAUGACCCUCAGUGGCCGGAAUAAUAGGCAGGGUGCUAAAGCUUUAAUGGCUAUCUUAGGCGCUUAAAUCCGAAUUAGUGUUUUGCCCCCAAAAUGACAGUCGGGAGGAGGCACAGGGGGAGGGGGGUAGUGCGACGUGGAAACACACCAAGGUAACGGCUGUAUUGCAGAGGAUCAUAAGCAAGAACAGCGUAAAAACCUGGGGAAUGUAUGAAAUUUGAACAUCGAUUAUUUGAACAUGACUGUAACCUAAACUUGCUAGAAGGGGUUGGAGGCAGAGAGCAAUUCAAUAACGGAAGUGGACGUGCUGAACCAGAUGUGUUUAUUACUUCACAACCGCAAAGCAAAAUGCAGAAGUUGGCACUUCUCUACGGAAGAAAAAUGAGGACUCCGCUGUAAAACAUGCGAAAAUCGACAAAACAUACUGAAAAAUGAAUGACAUCUCUGGGCUACAGAAGUAGUGGCUAUUAUUCGAAAUGGUCCAAGUUUCAGUCAUCACAUACACUGUGUCGCAACCAUAUCAACCCCCGUCAGUGUUUGUACGGCAGAUCCUCUGGACCUUUGUUAACCCCGAUGCAAAGUGAAAGAUCCUGCACUCAGGUGCUCACAAGCACACGACAUUCCUACACCACUUGCACUCUUGCAUCACCCCUAACAUCAGACCACGCAAAGAACCAAAAUGAUUUCCUUGUUUUCAAUAAACGCGCACGGAAAGAUGA